GCGGGUGUAGCUCAGUUGGUUAGAGUGCCGGCCUGUCACGCCGGAGGUCGCGGGUUCGAGCCCCGUCACUCGCG
rfam:Sphingopyxis sp. Root1497 contig_5, whole genome shotgun sequence.